UACGUAGGGUGCGAGCGUUGUCCGGAAUUAUUGGGCGUAAAGGGCUCGUAGGCGGUUUGUCGCGUCGGGAGUGAAAACAUUCAGCUUAACUGGGUGCUUGCUUUCGAUACGGGCAGACUAGAGGUAUGCAGGGGAGAACGGAAUUCCUGGUGUAGCGGUGAAAUGCGCAGAUAUCAGGAGGAACACCGGUGGCGAAGGCGGUUCUCUGGGCAUGAUCUGACGCUGAGGAGCGAAAGUGUGGGGAGCGAACA
rnacentral:rRNA from 1 species